UUAGUUCUAUAGGGUCAGAUUCUGAGUCUGAAGAAUUUGAAAAUUUUGAUCUUUGUUAGAUAUAUGUCAUACUUUUGCUUUGUAUUUUUUAUGUGGUUGUUUGGUUGAGGUUGAAGGGGAGCCUUGGAGCAACAGUAAGGUUGUCUCUAUGUGACAUGUUCAGGUCUGAGGCGUAGAAUCAGCACUUAACCCUCGCAAUUGGAUAGGCUUAGUGUAGGCUGCCUACAUCAUACUUCCGGAGGUACGGCCCUUCCUCAGUUCCCCAUGAAUGCGGGUUUUUGUUUGUUUGGUUGAUUCUGCUUAUUUCCAUUAUGGCUUUCUUCAGGUUACCUGGAAACUGACCUAUAUUAUGUUCUAUGGUCUCAAAUAUUAGUUGUUUUGACAGAUUUUGGGGCCCUUCCUCAGUUCCCCAUGAACGCGGGAUUCUUCGUGCACCGGGCUGUCCUUGUUUGUUUGGUUGAUUCUGCUUAUUUCCAUUAUGGCUUUCUUCAGGUUACCUGGAAACUGACCUAUAUUAUGUUCUAUGGUCUCAAAUAUUAGUUGUUUUGACAGAUUUUGGAUUUGUUUUUAAAGAUUUGACCUUUUAGAAACUAAG
rnacentral:lncRNA from 1 species